rnacentral:rRNA from 1 species
UAGGGAAUCUUCCACAAUGGACGCAAGUCUGAUGGAGCAACGCCGCGUGAGUGAAGAAGGUUUUCGGACCGUAAAGCUCUGUUGUUGGUGAAGAAGGAUAGAGGUAGUAACUGGCCUUUAUUUGACGGUAAUCAACCAGAAAGUCACGGCUAACUACGUGCCAGCAGCCGCGGUAAUACGUAGGUGGCAAGCGUUGUCCGGAUUUAUUGGGCGUAAAGCGAUCGCAGGCGGAGA